rnacentral:lncRNA from 1 species
AUGAAGGCAUAUUGUGGGAUUCUGGUCAGAAAGUGAAGCAUUGGAAGUGAAGAUUUCAGAAGAGGAGCUGCUCUGGGAAUAAACACAGGGUCCAGCAUGUGCCCUGGGAAGGGACAGCAGACCAGGAGCCAAGGCAGGAGUCACAGGAAUUACAGAGGCACAGGGACUCCCCCUGUGGUAGGACAGUGGUUCCUGCAGACACUGCUGUCCUGGGACUGAAGUGGUUACGGCAGGAGUGGAAA